UACGGGGGGGCAAGCGUUGUUCGGAAUUACUGGGCGUAAAGGGCUCGUAGGCGGCCAACUAAGUCGGAUGUGAAAUCCCUCAGCUUAACUGGGGAACUGCGUGUGAUACUGGAUGGCUUGGAUUUGGGAGAGGGAUGCGGAAUUCCAGGUGUAGCGGUGAAAUGCGUAGAUAUCUGGAGGAACACCGGUGGCGAAGGCGGCAUCCUGGACCGGCAUUGACGCUGAGGCGCGAAAGCCAGGGGAGCAAACGGG
rnacentral:rRNA from 1 species